rnacentral:lncRNA from 1 species
AAAAUUUUUAAAACCCAAUAAUAUAUAUGUAUGUGUGUGUGUUACUUGAAUAGUAAUAUGAUUUAUGUGCUUUCUUGUAAAUGUUACGUAAGAUUGCAUCAAAUUAUUUUUACAAUAAUUGUACUGUGUUGGAUGUCACAUAAAAUUCUCCGUUAAUUUACAUUUGCUUCGAUAAUAAUGUAGCAAGGGAUUAAAAAAACAUUAAAAUAUUAAUAUGAACACAUCUAUCGAGUCCUACAACAGGAUGUAGCGUUCAACUUUCGGCAAGUGUUCGUACAAUGCUCAUUCUAGGUCAUUUAUAAAAAGAUGUUCUUUGAAUGCACUCUAUUAUAGUGAAUAAUUGAGAAUAAUUGAGAAUAAUUGAGCGUAAAUGAGGAUACUCCAUU